CGUACUUAGCCCAAACAAAUAAAAUACAACUAUAAAUUAAACCUAAAUUAAAACAUUUACUACACAUAAUAGUAUAGGAGAUAGAAAUUUUUCACAGGCGCUAUAGAGAAAGUACCGCAAGGGAACAAUGAAAGAAUUUACCAAAGCAACAAAUAGCAAAGCUUACCCCUUGUACCUUUUGCAUAAUGAUUUAACUAGACAUAAUUUAGCAAAGAGAACUUAAGUUAAUAUCCCCGAAACCAGACGAGCUACUUAUAAGCAGCUUCAUAGAGCAAACUCAUCUAUGUGGCAAAAUAGUGAGAAGACUCAUAAGUAGAGGUGAAAAGCCUAUCGAGCCUGGUGAUAGCUGGUUGUCCAGUAAAGAAUUUUAGUUCAAACUUAAAUCUGCCUACAAAAAUAUUAAUUUUACUGUAGAUUUAAGAUAUAAUCUAAAGGGGGACAGCCCUUUAGAUACAGGUUAAAACCUUAACUAGAGAGUAAGUAUAUAAAUAUACCAUAGUGGGCCUAAAAGCAGCCAUCAAUAAAGAAAGCGUUCAAGCUCAACAACAUAACUAUUUAAAUCCCUAUAAUCAAUACCAACUCCUAGCAUUAAAACUGGACUACUCUAUAUUCGUAUAGAAGAACUACUGUUAAUAUUAGUAACAAGAAUUUAAUUCUCCUAGCACAAGUGUAUAUCAGAACGAAUAAUCACUGAUAGUUAACGAAUAUAAAGCAAACUAACCAACAAGCCCUUUAUCUACUUACGUUAAUCCAACACAGGAGUGCUUCAAGGAAAGAUUAAAAGGAGUAAAAGGAACUCGGCAAA
rnacentral:rRNA from 1 species